AGUGAACGCUGGCGGUAGGCCUAACACAUGCAAGUCGAACGGCAGCACAGUAAGAGCUUGCUCUUACGGGUGGCGAGUGGCGGACGGGUGAGGAAUACAUCGGAAUCUACUUUUUCGUGGGGGAUAAUGUAGGGAAACUUACGCUAAUACCGCAUACGACCUACGGGUGAAAGCAGGGGAUCUUCGGACCUUGCGCGAUUGAAUGAGCCGAUGUCGGAUUAGCUAGUUGGCGGGGUAAAGGCCCACCAAGGCGACGAUCCGUAGCUGGUCUGAGAGGAUGAUCAGCCACACUGGAACUGGGACACGGUCCAGACUCCUACGGGAGGCAGCAGUGGGGAAUAUUGGACAAUGGGCGCAAGCCUGAUCCAGCCAUACCGCGUGGGUGAAGAAGGCCUUCGGGUUGUAAAGCCCUUUUGUUGGGAAAGAAAAGCAGCAGGUUAAUACCCCGCUGUUCUGACGGUACCCAAAGAAUAAGCACCGGCUAACUUCGUG
rnacentral:rRNA from 1 species